rnacentral:rRNA from 1 species
CUACGGGCGGCUGCAGUAGGGAAUAUUGCGCAAUGGGGGAAACCCUGACGCAGCAACGCCGCGUGGGUGAAGAAGGCUUUCGGGUUGUAAAGCCCUGUCAGGAGGGAAGAAAUGCAAGUGAGAGUAAUACCUCACUUGUUUGACGGUACCUCCAAAGGAAGCACCGGCCAACUCCGUGCCAGCAGCCGCGGUAAUACGGAGGGUGCAAGCGUUGUUCGGAUUUACUGGGCGUAAAGCGCGUGUAGGCGGCUUGUUAGGUCAGAUGUGGAAAGCCCCCGGCUUAACCGGGGAAGUGCAUUUGAAACCAAUAGGCUUGAGUACGGGAGAGGGAAGCGGAAUUCCUAGUGUAGAGGUGAAAUUCGUAGAUAUUAGGAGGAACACCCGUGGCGAAGGCGGCUUCCUGGACCGAUACUGACGCUGAGACGCGAAAGCGUGGGGAGCAAACAGGAUUAGAUACCCCUGUAGUC